UACAGAGGGUGCGAGCGUUGUUCGGAAUUAUUGGGCGUAAAGGGCGCGUAGGCGGCGCGGUAUGUCACCUGUGAAAUCUCCUGGCUCAACUGGGAGCUUGCAGGCGAAACUGCCGUGCUGGAGUGUGGGAGAGGUGCGUGGAAUUCCCGGUGUAGCGGUGAAAUGCGUAGAUAUGCGGAGGAACACCGAUGGCGAAGGCAAUCCCCUGGGGCCUGCACUACGCUCAUGCACGAAAAGCGUGGGGGAGCAAACAGG
rnacentral:rRNA from 1 species